rnacentral:tRNA from 1 species
CGCGCAGCAGGCGGUCGCCGCCGCUGGCGCCGUCGGGGGUGGUGCAGAUGACGCGGCCGACGUCGUCGGGCCCGCGAUCGGCGAUGCGGGCCGCGCGA